UCAGAGAAUUUGCAAUUUUUUUUAUCAAAGGAAUUGUUAAUUUUUAUUUUUAUUUAUUUAUUUUUUAAAUCAAAGAAAACCAGGAUCCCUCUUGAAGAGUACUUGCAAGAGAACUACCGGGCUUCUAAAACCAGUUCCUUUUCAUCACCUCCUGUACCUCUUUCCCUACCUGGUUACAUCUCUGCAAGGCAGUGUGUAUUGAACUCCUCUGGGUGGCCUUUAAGUGGCCUUUCUGAACGUGUCCCUUCCCAGCACUCUCCACCCUCCAGGAGGACUCCAACUCAGCCAUGAUAGAACAGGUGCAGCUCUCCAUGGCCAGCACAGUAAUCCAGGUGAUCAGCCAGAUCAGCAACUCCUAGCCCCUCCUGCCAUUCUGCCAAAGCUGCAUGAGCUCAGGAGUGGACUUGGACAAUGAUGGCCUGGAGCUUUCUGCCAUGAUGAUGAUGAUGGGCGAUCACUCACUUACAAGCUCCUCCAUUUCCAGGCAGACACCUGUAUGUUGUGGCAGUGGCAAUGCCAGACCACAUGGCAGCCAAGGAAGGGGACAGACUGCUGCCCAGAGAGCACCCUGGAAGAGAAAAUGUCAUGCCUGCAUGAAACUGGAUGUGCUGGCCUCUACAGCAGAGUCCAGCCACUGCUGGGUCACAAUGGCCUCGCAGUCAAGUGAAGGAGAGAGGACUGCUACUAGUGCUUGACCAGGGUCAUGGCCAUGUUGCUUGCCAGGCAGCAUGCAGAGGUUGAGGAGCACUACCUGGCCCCCCUGCCUGUCACCUAAGCAGGGAGCAUAGCCUGACAGGGGCGUGCACAUGCACUCCUUAUGCAUCACCACUGCCCCAGCCAUCUGGCAGAUGGACCCUGUGGCCUAAAUAAUUCUCCAGAGGCAGUCGCCACCACCUGGGGACAUGCCACCUGCUCUUGCUAUGCACAGCAUGCAGGGCCCAGGGCAUGCUGUCAUUCAGGGAAGUGACGGACUCCCUGGAAAGAUUUGUAAGUGUUGCCCACCUGCUUUUUCACAGGGCAUUUGUCUACUUUACUAGACUUCUUUCCCUAUUGUUUGUUGUUCAAUACAAUUUCUGCCUGUUGAGAGGUGCAGGUAUAACAGGAGCCCCCCUUGGGCCCAGUCACCUCUGCUUUCUCUGGGCAGUCCCCCCUUGAACUUUCCUGCCACACCUUGAUGCUGUUAUGCUUUUACAGAAAAGGGAGGCUUCCUCCAGGCUUCAAGUGAAAGCUCAUCCUCAUAAACACAGGUGCCACUGCUCAUCACCUUCACAGUGAAUUACAUAGCCUCAUCUUCCCUUAUAGCCAUGCCCAAGCCUCACAGGUAUCACCAAUCAUUGGAUAUUAAGCCCCAUUGCCUAAUCCAGUCACUCUCUCAUCCAUGGGCUCUCAGACCUAGUGUCAACUCAGUUCCAGGUUUAGAGGCCUGCCUGGACUGAUCUUCCAACACUAAUGAGUCUUCCCGUGCCUUUGAUCAUUUCAGCCCCACUUGGGCUCAGUACUCCAAAUAGAGGCCCAUCUUGACCUCUCUUGGGCUUAGCCCUUCAUUCUCAGCCCUUCCUGGGCUUAGGCCUCACUACCUCCAGCCAACUCCAUCCCUUGCAGGCUGUGGGUCCUGACUCUGGUUCUUGCCCCUUGCAGGCUGCAGCUGUGGCCCUGCUCCUCAGCCAUGGCCCCUAUCUCACAAGCUCUGGCCCUGCUCCCAGGCUAGUUGAGACUUCCACCACCCCUACAGUCUCAAUCCCUAAACCACCAGUCUUGCUUACAUCCUACUCAGGAGUCUUGCUGUGGCCCCACCAAGUCCCAGGACCUCCCGGUCAGCCUCCUCCUGGCCCUGGCCCUGUGGACCCUGUACUUGACCAGGAAGGAGGCUCUGGCUGGGAAGGUGCCUGGAGCCUGCGGGGCCACUUUCCUCUCCCUUGUCCAUGCAUGUUUCCGAGCAGAGCACCAGUGAGCGGCGUCCACCAGCUCCUUGGAUACUUUUAAGGGCUGGCGGGUGCGGUCCGGAGGGCUCUGCUCGGUGUCCCUCUCAGGCGCACUUACGCAUUUUGACCAUUUGACCCUCACGUCCCUCCUGUCCUGUUUUUCGCCUUUGUUGUCCCAAGUAUUUUGUUCUAGGAUUCACCCACUAGCCCCCAUACGAUAGGGGCUACUAGUUAGCUGGGUGGGCUUUAGGGCCCACCGUAUUUGAAUGUUAAAAAUAGACAGAAGUCUUACUGCAGCCCUUUGGCGCAGAAGCUGUUUGCUCCUAGGGCUAGACUGCCUGCCCAGCCCAGCCCCUUUUGGGUCAUGUAGCUCUACUGAUUUCCCUCUUCCUUACCUGCAGCCUGCUUUCCCUUAAAGUAGCAGGAGCACCAAGCUCCCUGCUACAGUAGGGCCUUGGUGAAUAGAAAUCUUGGACAGGGAGAAGCUGUUCAUUGAAUUUGCCACAAAAAAAAUUGAGGCAGGGGCUCAGGAGCUGUGCCCAAAACAGUCUUUGGGUUUUGGGAGGGGUACCUUUAAAGGUCACUGUCCUGUCAGGCAGCUACUGACUGCUGCAUAAUUUAAUUGCCCACUUAAUGCCUCAGCCACUCCCUCUGAAAAACACAGUAGUUUUACUACUUCCCCUACAAAACCCAGGGCUUUGAAGUAGGCUUUUAAGUGGAUGAAGUGAGCUUCAGCCAAGGAAAGCUUAUUCUAUAUAAUUGAAACUAUAUUUUUAACGUAUGCUUUGGUUAGUUCAUGGCGCUCAGCCUGCAAGCCAAGUCUAGCCCAUGGAAGCAUGACAUCCAGCCCUGGAAUGACAUCCAUCUGGUCUGCUCCCCACUGGCACAUGUUGGGAUUGGGGCUACCCUGCCCCACCCCUGCUGCCCCACAUGUCCAGAUCAGUACUGGGAUUGGGGCUGACAUCAGGCUGUUUCUCCUGCAACCCAUGCAUCUGGAUUGGAGCCACACUGCCACCUGUCCCUGCCACACAUGUUCAGACUGGGGUUACUCUGACCCACCCCAGGUGGAUAGAUCAAGGUUGGGCUGCUCAAUCCCUCUGCAUUGGCUUCAGGGAGGGAGCUUUUAAUAGGAAACAUGCCAUCUUUCUGCUGGGUAGGCAGGCAGCACCUGUCGCUGCUUCAAUUAAUACCCAUCUAAUGCCCCAGCCCAUCCUCCUACAGAAACCCAGUAGUUGUGCUAUGGCCCCAGCAUACCUGGCCUCUCCUUGGGAGAUGAAGAUGAGCUUUCACAUCACCUCCCUUCCCCAACCACAGCUCCAGAGCAAUGCUUAGCACCCAGCUGAGGAUUUACCCCCCACCCUCACCCCCAGUCCAAACUCUCAUUGACUCCCCCUUCCCCCACCACCGCCCUCCCUUAACAUGCCACUCCUGGACCGUACCCCCCCCAUCAUCAUCACCUCCUGCCAGCACAGGAGAAAACCACACAGAGGAGACCUUGAAUUCAGCCAACAGUAUUUAACAGAUGCACUACAUUUUAUUUAUACAUUAAAGUGGCCAUUCAGUGCAAACACGCAGUGCCUGGCAACCUGCCAGGCAGUGGAAACUCUGGGUCACAGUCACAGACAGUAUUAUUACAAACAUAGGAAAUGGUAUUGGUAUUGCAGGCACAAGAAGAAUAGUAGGUUUUGCAGAAUUGCAGGGUCUUGGGAUCUCUUGCAUCCUUGGGUUCUGCAAGCCCUCACUGCUUCUUGCAUCAGGUACUGGGAUGAGCUGGGUCAGAGGGCAACUCAGUGGCAGGACAAAUGCAACAGGUAUUCAGGCACAAAACCUCCCACAAACAUUUCACCACACGCCUGUGGGACACCUAGUGGGCCUGCCAUGUCGGCUAUGUUAUGUAUGUAUUCUCUCAGGCCACCUGCUGGUGGAAGGGUAGCAGUAAACUCAGCCAUUCCUGAAAGCUGCUUUAACAGAGACAUGUGAAUGUGACAAAAUGUGCCACUUCUCCAUUGCAUUUAUACCCUCUGUGGCCUACCCUAGGCGAGGUCCUGGCCCAUGUGGGUCUCUUGUCUGCUUAUCCAGUGUCAUCUUUACAGCUUGCUUCCCUUUCCCCUCCCAUCAGGUGAUCACUAGUGUCAUUUUUAGUGAGGGUCUUACUGCCGUUCCCACCACCAACCUACAGCCUUAUGACAGGAGAAAGACAAGUUUGAGAGAACCAUAUCCUCCCAUCUGGAGAUGGUUGUUCUCUAAUCUGGACCAACCAUUGAUUCAAAUGGGGAGCAUACACUGCCAGGGCUAAACCAGUGAGCAACUGCAGCCAACAGAAACAAGCAUAGAGCACAGCUGUCUCAAACCCUUCUGCCUGGUUUGUGUGGAUAUUUGAUAAUGUUAUCUCAUUGAUCAAGAUCAGGCACUGAACGGCCUUGUGGCACAGCUGGAAGUAGCCUACUCCCAGUAGACACUAGAUCAGUGUUUCUCAAACUUCAUAACUGAGGCACACUUUUUUCUAGAUUAAAACCGGCAGCACAAUUUACUCAGCGAUUCGCAGCCUGGAUCUCCAUCGGCCCGAUUCUGCUAUGAGGGCCAGCCUGGCUGGGCCUAAUCCAGACCGUUUUUUCAUGGCAUACUUCUACUUCUCUCAUAGCACACUGUCUAGAAAUCACUGCCCUAUAUGUUAGCAGUGGCCUUGGCAAUCCUGUGGUUGAUUCUGCAUGCACACAGCACUUGGUCCUGUACCUUGCACGACUUGCUGCACUGACAACCACCAGGUAGGUUAGUUAGCUAGCCUGUUGCUCUCACAGACAUUUCCACCCCUCAGUAUGUUGGUAGCAGAAACCAACCAUAUUUAACUACUUCCACUCCAUCUACAACACCGCUCUCCAGACAUACCUGGCCAUCCCUAGGUAGACUCCCCACCUCCUCCCUAGUCAUGUGCUGCUGCUGGGGCCCUUUGCCCAUCCCUUACCUUUAACAGCUGCUCAUCUCAAAGAUACAGAGAGGUGGGCACCUGGGAUAGAGCUGUGGGACAGGUGUGGGAAAGCCAGAGUGUGGGGAC